GAUGAACGCUAGCGGGAGGCCUAACACAUGCAAGCCGAGCGGUAUUGUUUCUUCGGAAAUGAGAGAGCGGCGUACGGGUGCGGAACACGUGUGCAACCUGCCUUUAUCUGGGGGAUAGCCUUUCGAAAGGAAGAUUAAUACUCCAUAACAUAUUGAUUGGCAUCAAUUAAUAUUGAAAGCUCCGGCGGAUAGAGAUGGGCACGCGCAAGAUUAGCUAGUUGGUGAGGUAACGGCUCACCAAGGCGAUGAUCUUUAGGGGGCCUGAGAGGGUGAUCCCCCACACUGGUACUGAGACACGGACCAGACUCCUACGGGAGGCAGCAGUGAGGAAUAUUGGUCAAUGGGUGCAAGCCUGAACCAGCCAUCCCGCGUGAAGGACGACUGCCCUAUGGGUUGUAAACUUCUUUUGUAUAGGGAUAAACCUACCCUCGUGAGGGUAGCUGAAGGUACUAUACGAAUAAGCACCGGCUAACUCCGUGCCAGCAGCCGCGGUAAUACGGAGGGUGCAAGCGUUAUCCGGAUUUAUUGGGUUUAAAGGGUCCGUAGGCGGACUUAUAAGUCAGUGGUGAAAGCCUGUCGCUUAACGAUAGAACUGCCAUUGAUACUGUAAGUCUUGAGUAUAUUUGAGGUAGCUGGAAUAAGUAGUGUAGCGGUGAAAUGCAUAGAUAUUACUUAGAACACCAAUUGCGAAGGCAGGUUACCAAGAUAUAACUGACGCUGAGGGUCGAAAGCGUGGGGAGCGAACAGGAUUAGAUACCCUGGUAGUCCACGCCGUAAACGAUGCUAACUCGUUUUUGGGCUUUAGGGUUCAGAGACCAAGCGAAAGUGAUAAGUUAGCCACCUGGGGAGUACGCUCGCAAGAGUAAAACUCAAAGGAAUUGACGGGGGCCCGCACAAGCGGUGGAUUAUGUGGUUUAAUUCGAUGAUACGCGAGGAACCUUACCAAGACUUAAAUGGGAAUUGACAGCUUUAGAAAUAGAACUUUCUUCGGACAAUUUUCAAGGUGCUGCAUGGUUGUCGUCAGCUCGUGCCGUGAGGUGUUAGGUUAAGUCCUGCAACGAGCGCAACCCCUGUCACUAGUUGCCAUCAUUCAGUUGGGGACUCUAGUGAGACUGCCUACGCAAGUAGAGAGGAAGGUGGGGAUGACGUCAAAUCAUCACGGCCCUUACGUCUUGGGCCACACACGUAAUACAAUGGCCGGUACAGAGGGCAGCUACACAGCGAUGUGAUGCAAAUCUCGAAAGCCGGUCUCAGUUCGGAUUGGAGUCUGCAACUCGACUCUAUGAAGCUGGAAUCGCUAGUAAUCGCGCAUCAGCCAUGGCGCGGUGAAUACGUUCCCGGGCCU
rnacentral:rRNA from 1 species